ensembl:lncRNA
GCUGAAGUUCAGGGGAACCAGAGUUGGAUGCGGACAAGUGCUCUUAAACGCCCCCCCCCCGACUUUUCUGACAAAGUUCUCUUUUCAGGUACAAACCCAGGAGCUGCUGCUGCUCUUCCACAGCCACAGCCACCGAACGAAGCGCCUCCUUCCUGCCUGUUUUUACCCUCUCUGCCGAUACCCAGAUGUAGGCCAGCUGGACCUCUGUGCCUCCUUCCUGCGCAAAAGGGGCAGAGGCAGAGGGGACGCUCGAGGGAGGCUUUUGUAGAGACGCCUCUCGCCGCCCUCCGUGAGGCUUCCUGCUAGUCGCGAGCAAAGACAAGCGGCAGCAAACGCUCAGAGCGAGCCGCCAGAACCGCAUCAAGAGGUCUUCCUUUCUCCACUACAGCGACGGCGGCUUUUCCUGGCGCUGCCCCGCUGCUCUGUCCGGGGUGAUUUACGGGCCAGGGCAGCGCAUUCACACCCUUUGCCUUCCGCCCGGCCCUGCCACGGGGCACCUGCUUUGCUGCCCAAUCCCCUGGCNUUAAAGUGGGGCAUGGCCUGAUGUNCUUUGGCCCCUAAGGCGCCACUGGUUUCUAAAGCUCACUUCGAGCGGAGGCGGUGAGGAAGCCCUGGAUGCUGGCAAGAGAGCGGGGGCACCGCUGGUCUGGNCUGGCCCCUUAGCUAACCUGGCAAGACGGGUCGCUCAGCCCUCCAAGCAUGCACAGCGCGCAACAAUAAACAAGUGCCAAGCUCAGCAGCCAGCCAAACCAGGCACGCCCCCUUUGGUUCCUGCGCCGAGAGAUGCUCGGGCGGCGGGUAUCUGCCGUCGCCGGGGCCGAGCGAGAGACUCUAGACAAGACGUUCAGACGCACAAAGCCAGAAUCUCACUNGAGCAAGCCCGGGCGAUAGAGGGGAGCACUCUGCACGCGCCCAGAGUCUCGCGUGUUUGCAAGUAGGCUGGCGCCGGCCGGUCCAAACAACGAGUCCUUCGGACGAGGGGUGCCAGUGGGGGGACUCUUGCAUGAGGUCCUUCCCAGGAAUUCCCCCGCGCCGCGACGCUCUCCGUGGUCCCCCGGCGUCUCCGCCCGCCGCUGCCGCCGCGCUCCNGGAGAAAGGGGGCGGCUGAGGGGCGGGGCCUCCGCGGGCNCAUCCGACCCGCCUCUUCCCCUCCUGGCCAAUGGCGAGCGGGGGCGGGGGCAGCGGGGCACCUCCCCCAAGCGGAGCGAGCUCGGUCGGCCGGCGGCGUUGGCGCCGCGCUGGAGCGGACAGAGCCGGGGCGGGCGCGGCGCGGGAGCCGGAGCUGUGUCUUCUCGUGGGGCGCCGAGCGGAGCCGCCGCCAACGCUAGCCAGGGAGGCGCCGCCGCCGGCUUGAGCUCCGUCUGGCGCCCCUGGAGCCGGAACGCCCGCUUGCCCGUUCCGCUUCGGGUGGCCGAGCGCUGGACCUGGAACGGCAGAAUCUCGCUUGCACGACGGCCUGGGCGCCCGGGCAGCGGAGGAGACGCUGCUGUGACCGUCUUUGCCUCCGGACGGACCUGGCACCGACAUGCCCUCUGGCAGCCAAGCACCUCUGCCGGCCUGAUCUCUGGCUCCUAGGCCGCUCCAGGGCCCAGUGGACACUGGCCGCUUGCCUCUCUAGCCAGGGAGAUACUCCCAGAAGAGGGGGAACCCGUCUUUCCCUCGGGCGUCAGCAGGGGAGAUCUGAAGGACCUGAGCGCCCACUGUCCCGGAAGGAGUGCACGGCUGGCGGGGGCAGGAGGCCAUUGUGAUGGUGCUGCUGUGGAAUGCGGAGCUCUCCUUCCCCCACCGGAGGCAGAGCCACGCAGACCAGCCGACGGUUGCCGCUCGCCCGCCGGCCCUGGGACGGGAGCUAGCCGUGGGGGGCUCCUUCUGAUGGGGUGCCCCUAGGGAACCAGGCUCCUUUCUGGAAGGGGUCCCGAUGGCCUAAUCGCCGCCCCUCCCCCAGACCACCCUGCCCCUCCCCCACCCGGGGAGCCACGAUGGGGGCGGAGCUCUCCACCGGCGCCGUCAUCGCGAUCGUCUUCAACUGCGUCAUCGCCUUCCUCAUCUUCGUCCUCCUGCUCAUCGUCUGCCGGGCCUGCAGGACGCCGUCUUGCCCCGACAAGAGCCCCACUUCGGAGGCGGAGGAGCGGGGCAAUGAGGAGAAGUACCUGCUCCAGCCUUGACCGGCCCGUCGGGACGAGGCGAGAAACGUGGCCUUCGGCUUCUCCGGUCUGCAGCCGGGAUGGGCCACCGUGCGUUCUAGAACUUUCGGGGCACCGGUGGCCUUGUUGCUGGACGGCUGGGGAUCCCUGCCGUCGGCCGCCCGUCUCAAUCAGAAGGAACUCCCUGGCCUUUGAGGAGCUCUGAGCAAUGGC